UAACACGUGAGCAACCUGCCUUUCAGACGGGGGAUAACAGUUGGAAACGACUGCUAAUACCGCAUGACAUUAGGGGAGGGCAUCCUCUUCUAAUCAAAGGAGCAAUCCGCUGAAAGAUGGGCUCGCGGCCGAUUAGCUGGAUGGCGGGGGUAGAGGCCCACCAUGGCGACGAUCGGUAGCCGGACUGAGAGGUUGAACGGCCACAUUGGGACUGAGACACGGCCCAGACUCCUACGGGAGGCAGCAG
rnacentral:rRNA from 1 species